CCUACGGGCGGCUGCAGUGGGGAAUAUUGGACAAUGGGGGGAACCCUGAUCCAGCCAUGCCGCGUGUGUGAAGAAGGCCCUCGGGUUGUAAAGCACUGUCAGUGAGGAAGAACGCCUGGUGGUUAAUACCCAUCAGGAAAGACUUCACUCACAGAAGAAGCACCGGCUAACUCCGUGCCAGCAGCCGCGGUAAUACGGAGGGUGCGAGCGUUAAUCGGAAUUACUGGGCGUAAAGCGCGCGUAGGUGGCUUGAUAAGCCGGUUGUGAAAGCCCCGGGCUCAACCUGGGAACGGCAUCCGGAACUGCCAAGCUAGAGUGCAGGAGAGGAAGGUAGAAUUCCCGGUGUAGCGGUGAAAUGCGUAGAGAUCGGGAGGAAUACCAGUGGCGAAGGCGGCCUUCUGGACUGACACUGACACUGAGGUGCGAAAGCGUGGGUAGCAAACAGGAUUAGAUACCCUGGUAGUC
rnacentral:rRNA from 1 species